GCUUCUCCGUAAAAGGCACUAGGAAAGAAGGAGUUAAAGUGAAGGCAGGCUCGCUGGUUUGCUGAGAUCUGUCAGAGGCUGACUGGCUGGCUACAUAUCUGUCUCUUGAACAAUAGGUACCUGUAUUCUGCACGGGCUGCUGGGCAGGCAGCACUAACACUCCGGAGAAGGUCUGCCUCUGUCUGCGCCUUCCUGGUGAGAAUCCCCAGUAACAAUCCUACUUUUCAGAGGAGACAGAGAGAGAGAGAGAGAGCACGAGGGAAAAAAAGGCUGUCUACUCUGUUGAUGAAGGACAAAGCUUUGAUCAUUUUUGUUCAGGCUUCACUUGGCGGUUUUAGGUUCUUAGACUCAAGUCAGUAGUUGUACUGGCUUGCUUUCUUUCUCUUAUUCUCUCUGUAGCGUGCUCUCUCUCUUUCUUUUCUUUCGCAUUCUCCUUCUGUUGCCCUCGCUCUCUCCCUCUCUCAUUUCUCCUCAUAGGUUCAAUGCAGGCAGAUAAGUGUCACAGAUUAUUCUGAGACACAGAAUAAUCAACAUAUCGGAGCCAAUUCCCAUGACGGCAAGAGGGUGAACAGGCAGAGGAGACUGACCGAGGUUGACAAGACCAUUCUUCUGACAAGUUUUAGGUAAGAAAAUAUUUAUAUACGAUUCUUGCAUUUCUGAAUCUUUGUGACUGAGAGAGACAUUUGUGAUUAAAAAAGGAAGUCGCUAUAGGUAAAUAUUUUUGAGAGGGCAUCCUCCUUUCUAUCCCUUGCUUAGAGAAGCUGUCAGUAUUCAUGCAGGGCUUUGUGUUACUAGAAUCUUCAGAGGUGAGGUGUGCGGGGGACUGGAGGAAGGGUGAGCUGCUCUUUAUGUCUGUGUGGUGACAUUUAUCAUGCUGUUUAAAUCUAUAUCCGUAGAAAAAAUAGACUUUCUGUUUGACGAUAGUAGUGUUUUAUGCAAGGCAGAACAUAUGGCUGUGCAGAAUUCAAGUCGUGUUCUUUCAUUCUUAAUUUGUAAUUAUUUUUACACUCAACUGUACUGAGGUCAGAGAGUUUUAAAAAUUAAUGAGAUUCCCUGUGGAGUUCAAAUAGUAAUAUCUACGUGAGCCUCCACAAAGAGAUAAGAUUAGGCCAGUAUAUUUUUGCUAUAGAGUUGGCUGUCUUACUUUGAAUACAUGCCAUCUGAAGCAUAUGUUGGGUUCAAUAGUUUCUGGGAGUUGCUGUGAUUUGGAGACUAGCCCUUAAUUUAUUGUUUAGUGACCAGGAUACAGCGAGUCCCAGUUAGACUGCUGAAGAUGAACCCUGUGAGUGGAGACAUUCCUCAAACUUCACAGACAUUACUGUCAUGACAAUGGACGGUGUCUUAGACUUUCGAGGAAAUAGCAAAUGAUGAAUGAGGCGCAUGCUAAGAAGAGAAAAAAAAUCUGCAAAUGUGUUUUUAUUUUAAGUACUGUAUGAAAAUUCUAUGUAAAAUGGCUAUUUAGGAUCAAAGAUUGCUGGUCUGAACAAAGAGGUGAGGAUCCGCACAGGUGAAAAUUUCUUUGCCACAAAAUGAGUGUAGACUUUGGAUUAAGGGCAGCGAGUGAUUUGUUAUUUAUUUAUUUAUUUAUUUGUUUAUUUAUUUAUUUAAUCUCCACUCUUGCCCCACAAAGGUAGCUCACUGGGCUAGUCCAGGCAUUUAAAACUUUGAUUUCUCACAAUUUAAAAACAUUGUUUAUGUCCAUGGUCUAAGACACUGUUUAUAAGAGAGGCACUGCAAAGUAGUCUGAACAUAGAGUAAUCUGGGCUAAAGAUGUUUUUAUCCCUAGCUCCGCAUUUACAAGAUCCAUUCAGGUCUUCCCGUGACAUAUUGUUAUGUAAAUACUGUUCAGCCGGGAAAGCGGAGCUAUGGAGAUUCAAUUUACUUUGAAAGUUGUUCAUUAUAGCAAGGAUGAAUGUUAUUUAUUUGAUGCGAUUCAAAGACUGGAAAUGACUUUUUCAUUGUGGUACCUUUUGUGAUGGGUCCAGGGUGAUCUAAUCUUUUUAAUUUUGGCUUUCACACCAGUGGAGAUGAAAAGAGAUCUGAACUCAUUUAUCGGUUGCUAGGUCUUUCUGGAAGCCGAAGUUCUGCUUGUGGUUGCUAUGGCCAGGCUGACCUCAAUAUCUGUGGUUUGAGGGACUUAAGCAGUCAUUUUUUUCUUUUUCUUUUUCUUUUUUUAAUUGAGGAGCAUGUACCUUGAUUUAUGUCCAGAACUGUAGUUGAAUGUCUUUGUCCGCGGGUGAUAUAUGGUGCAGAACAAUUCAUCUGUUCUUACGAGUAAACACCGCUGUCCCACUAAAAAUAUGUUUUGUUCGGAGUUAAUGGUAUGGAACAAGGCAUUCUCCACAAACAGCUAUCUUUUAUUGUGUUGGGGCCGCGGAAACGCUGAGCAAAGUGCAGGAAAUUGGCAUCAGUCCUCGCGUCUAUUAGCAUUUCAUUUGUGAGUCGCAUGAUAAGACGGUAGGUGGACAGAGGGAGCGAGGAAGGGUGUUUCGACAUCCUCACUUUCAACUGGGACCGCCUAGCCUGUACCCGCAUUCGCCAGGACCGUCAGCCUUAGUUUCCCCUGACCUGGUGACAUCGCUUUGCCCAAGCGCUAAAGCACACCCAGGCGGACGUGCUGUGGCUCAGCACUUGGGACCGGUAGUCUUUGGCUCCUUGUGGAAAGUUGCUGGGUCCGAUAUCGGCAACACCCAGAAACGUAAUGUCUGUGUGCGAUCGAGUGGUCCCCGGUCGCUUGCUUUCUAGACUCUUGUUAGAAAGGAGCGUGGGUGAAUCAGAGCCUAUGGAGAACGAAGCCCCAUUCAGCAGAUGAGCUCGAAUACAGCCCCGCUCCCUUAAAAACUGCUAACUGAUGGAUGCUGCGGGGGGCGGGGGGGGGGGGGCAGACACCGCGAAUAAGAUGAGGGCGAAAUAGGAAUCAGGAAAGGCACGUACCGCCGCUAGCACCAUCAGUUUUCUUCUCAAAACAGCUUGGUAGAUUUUCUUUCUUUCUCUCCCUCUCUUUUUUUUAAUGUGCUAAUGAUUUUUAUUCUAAAUCGGUCAGCUCGGACUAUCCUCAGGAAAAUGAGAUCCGGGAGAAGUGACGCCCUCCUCGAACUAAAAGAUACUCAGGCUGAUGGAGUCAGGGAAGAAGCGGUUUAUCAACAGCACAGGAUGGCCGCAGGGAACAUAUUCAAACUUGCCUCACUGAGACAUCUCUGAGAUUUCCAUCAGGUGUGUGCAGGAUGCUAGAAAUGCCAAUUGUUGACUGUGUGGGUAUCUUUCUCUCUGUCUCUCUCUCUUUCUUGUACUUUGGCCCACCAAGGAAAGUAGGGAAGUUGAUGGCUUAAGUCUUAAAGCACACCAUAACAUCAAACUACUCUCUCCUAGGAUUUGACAUACCCCAAUCCCGGCUUUCCCAGACCCUCUACACCUCCACAAGCUUCUGAGCUUUAAAUUUUAAAAUCAUGAUCAUAGUUUUUCAUAUAUUAAAACAACUUGGUUUUAGAACUAUCUUUUAAAAAAUUGAGACUUGAACUUUGUUGUUUUGUUUUUUGUUUGGUUGGUUUUUUUUACAAUUGUCUAUUUACUUACGGGGGGAGGGUGUUAUUGGUUAUAUGAGUUAACUGUGAGAAAUCUAAGAAAAAUAUUACCACCAAAGGCUCUUCAAAAUAGAUGCUCACAUUAUCUUUAAAUGGCUGUUAAGUGGUUCAGAAAAAAAAAAAUUUAAAAAAAACUAGCAACAUUAACAGCUUCAGAAAAUAUAAACAGUGUCUCUUUAGAAGAACAAGUUGUGCUUAAUAGCCUAUAUGCUUAAUUUGUUCAGAAUCUCCCCAGCCUUUGUCGUUGUAUUUUGUUAGAAAGGAAGGAGAGGCUGUUUCUACAGGUGCCACAGAAAAAUCGAUGCUGAGCCACGGAUUAUUGGAUCCCAUAGAACCAUGGAGACUUGGCAGUGAAAUUCUUCCAAAGCAUUCCAUCUGCACAGGCAGAGGUGUUCCUGGUUUGGGAAGUAUAAAUCCCAUGGGGAGUCAACUGGAGGACAUUUUACAUGUCACUCAUCCUAUUAUGAGCCUGCUGCUUUUCCGUCUCGACAAGGCCACCAUCUAGAAUGGAACAGAAGUAUUCACAAAACAGCUGAAUGUGACUGUCUUCGGAUUCUUACUUAAUGAGACUCCCUGCCUUUUCUGUUUCUCGUCGAUGCUUCCAUUGUAUCCCAGUUGGCAGCUAAAGGACAGGAGCAGCAAUAAGGCUGCCUGGCUACAUUUUCAUGGUGCCACCAACUGCGAGUUAAGCUGACAAACAUUUUGAGAGCUCGGCCCAUUUCAUUCUCAGCAGGAUGGCAGCGGGUGACUGAUUGUCCCUGCCAGCUGGCUAAUAUCAUAAUUAGCAAAGUUGCUACCACAUCUGCAAAGUUUAAUCGAAAAAUUUACCAGUGGUAUGAUGGCAUUGUCACCAGGAUCCUGAGGGAAUCGGAGUCGACUUCUGCUUCAGGUGGAAUGGCAAAGCUGGAGAGCUGAGAUGAGAAACUGUAAACUUACUCAGCCAAAGGUUAUGCUUCACAUCACCCACCAGGGAGGAUCAUCUCUCAUGAAAACUUUCAAAUUUGAUUUUGAAAAUUUAUUCAGAAAAAUUUAAGCCACGCUCUUUCCCAACACAGGAAAUAAUAUGCUCGAGAGAAUCCUCUAAUUCACAGAAAAUGGACUUGGAUAACAUUUGGGUUCUCAUACUACCACAGUCCUCAUGAGAAGGACAGCCAGAAGACUGAAAGGUGAAAGGAACUUUUACAUGGAGAGGCACAAGGGACAGAACAACCUGAGUCACAAAUGUCAAGAGCAAUACUGGCUGUUCCUUAAAAGAUGGUGACUGUCAGGCAUCUCAAAGACUGCAAGAUGGAGACAGCUGUCCUCCAUGUAAAGGGAAGGAAGUGAGGCUGAGAGAAUUUACAACUAGGAGGCUAAUAAUGAAGGGGCCAGGGAAGGAGGCCAAUGCUACAGGGUUAUCUCCCAACCUCAGAUGUUGGAUAAGUGGACAGAAACAGCAUCGCUUCUGGAUGGCUUCAGGAGGGCUGGAGUGAUUGUGUGGAAGAGAAAAACCCGCCUAUUCAUUCAAAGGUACAUGAAUGUUGUCGAGACCUCCCCAUCUAAAGGUUCAUCCUUAGAAUCCUGCCUCAGACAAAGGAUGUGCUCGGAGCCCCACCACACCUAAAACCACGCUUUGAAGGAUCUGCCAAGCUCACUUUUAAUCAUGAGAAAGAAAUUACCCACAUGGAGACAGCAGAAAAUGAGAAAGUAGAGAUCGUGCUGCGAAUAAUUCCAGCGAGUGCCAAGGGGCUAGUUGAGGAAUGGCUUCAUGAGGUGAAUAUCUUUAGCUUGUACUUAGGGUUUGGUUAGCGUAUAAUCAUUUUCUCUUUUAGGAGCGAAUACAAUCUUAAGUGUAUUUCCCAUCCAAGCACCGCUCAGGGCAUUUGUCAGGAUGUUGACAGAUUUAAUAUCAGCCUCGUCCUAGCUGUUAUUUAUGAUGACUAAUUUUACAUUUAUAAAUAUGCAGAAAUCAAUGGAGGUGGGAAGGCUCUCUGAGCCCCAUGUCUGUCGCUAGCUGUCUGUCUUCAUGUGCAGCA